rnacentral:lncRNA from 1 species
CUUCAACAUUAUUAAAGAACAGCUGAAGUUGGGGAAUUUAAAUUACAAAUAUCAAGCGUCUCCAGUUUCUAUUUUAUUAUACAUUUGGUAUGUGUGUGCUUUGUUAUUGGCCACCUCAAAUCCUUAGGGGAAAGAUGAAAGAUAAAAGCAAGCAAACAAAUGUCAGAAAGGCAAAAAGCCCACAUUCAGAUCCACCAAGGGAGAUGCUUGUAAAGUUCAAAGGAGGCAAGAAAAAGCAGUGACAGAUUUUCCCAACACAAAAUUGAUGUGCUCUCUGAAGCUGUGUGUAAACAGAAGCUCUGUAAAACUCCUACUUGAAAUGCUCUGUGGGAUGUAAGGGAUCAUUCAUUGUCACCAGAAUCUUGAGAAGCAUAUGGGCCAUCUGCAGAAAGGCUGUAUUUCAAAGUUGGGUCUAUCUAUAUUCUUUAAUGUUAUUGUUGUUUUGCUUCUUUGUUUUUAUUUUUUUUCGAAAAGGAAGGAAAGGAACAAAACAAUAGAUCUUGAUGGGAAGAAAGCCUGUGGAGGUGACACCUGUGGAGGUGUGGAGGAAGGGAGGGCCAUCUUCACAGUUGGAACCACUGGGGGUGUCACCUCAGCAGGUCUUAUAGUGGGAAGCCCACAGGGACUGCAUAUGACAGUCUGGCACUCAAGUCGUUAGAAGGAAGUUUUUAUGGAAGUUUGAAGGAAAAGAACAUGAUUUAUAUUCUCAAAUUAUCUUUAUUGUACAACAUGGAGACAGUGUGGUUGAGUCUGAAGCCCAUCCUGGUUUGUAUUAUUUAGGACUCUCCUGGCUCCAAAUAAGAGGAACCCAACUUGCUGGUAUAGGCAGAAGGAGAGAUGCAUUAGUUCACAUAACUGAACUGGCAGGACAGGAGAGCAUCUGGUCCUGGGAUGAUGGGAACCAGGGGAAGGAAUACAGUGUGGAUGUUCCUAGUCUUUCCUCUCUGCAUCUCACUGUUGCUUUCUCUCAGACACUAAAGCUGGGUAUCUUCCCAGCAGGCCCCAGCUCUUCUACCAGUCCCACUGUUUGGAUGCUCAGUUUUACUCCACAGAAAACAGGUGUGGGUAGUGGUGGGUUUUGUGCAUUUGCUAUUGGAAGCUCUAAGGCAUGGGCAUUUGUCUUCCAUUCUGUAGGUAUGAUGAAAGGCACUCCAGACUUGAACAGUGGCUCACUUUGCAUUUGGUGCUUAUUACUCCUGUUUGGUAUUGAUGUACAACAAUUGCAUACACCUGGUGAGCUGUAUCAAGUACCCAAGCCUGAGUCUAUGAAUCCAGUGGAGAUGAGAAGCAGUGAUGUGACAGAGGGAGGAAAAAUAGAAAAGGGGUCAUUCUGA